GACGAACGCUGACGGCGUGCUUAACACAUGCAAGUCGAACGGAAAGGCCCUGCUUUUGUGGGGUGCUCGAGUGGCGAACGGGUGAGUAACACGUGAGUAACCUGCCCUUGACUUUGGGAUAACUUCAGGAAACUGGGGCUAAUACCGGAUAGGAGCUCCUGCUGCAUGGUGGGGGUUGGAAAGUUUCGGCGGUUGGGGAUGGACUCGCGGCUUAUCAGCUUGUUGGUGGGGUAGUGGCUUACCAAGGCUUUGACGGGUAGCCGGCCUGAGAGGGUGACCGGCCACAUUGGGACUGAGAUACGGCCCAGACUCCUACGGGAGGCAGCAGUGGGGAAUAUUGCACAAUGGGCGGAAGCCUGAUGCAGCAACGCCGCGUGCGGGAUGACGGCCUUCGGGUUGUAAACCGCUUUCGCCUGUGACGAAGCGUGAGUGACGGUAACGGGUAAAGAAGCACCGGCUAACUACGUG
rnacentral:rRNA from 1 species